GGCCGUCAGCCUCCCGGCCCCGCCCCGGAGGCCUCCGGUCGCCUGGCUCCGGCCCCACCCCGCCAUCCCCUGGCCCUGGCUGACUCGCCACCCCCGACACUGCAGCGCCUGCCGACCUCGGGGCCCCGCCCUCUGCCUUCGCUCGCGCCGCUCUCCUUCAGUCUCCCCAGGGCCUGUUUCAUGGAUAGGGUCCCCUUGCCCGCGUGAAAGUCUCAUUCCUCCUCAGCUCAGAAACACUCCAAGGUCUCGGCGCCCUAUACUGGCCUUCCCUCAUCCGAAUACCCCUCGUGCUCCUGAUGUACUUUUCCAUUCCCACUCCCUACUCUGGCAGUCUAGCUUCUAAGCUGAGGAGUUUGGCCUUCGCUCCAGGUGCGGGGACUCGUGGAAGGAUUUGAUUCGCGCUUGAGAAAGAUCGCUCCGCUCCUGUAAGGAAGAGAGCGUGUAGGGGCUGCAACCAGAGACACAGUCAGAAGCUCCGAGGCUACCGCGAUGGUCCAGGUGCCACAGGACACAGCCUAACAGAGGCCCAGGUUGGAGCCAUGGACCAUGGAGUCAUGAGAAUGGAAGGGAAGCUGACGCCAUGUGGGAUGGGGUAGAACUGUCCGCAAAUUCGUCCCGCCUCUGGAGUCUUCAGACCAGUCAAGGCCGAAAUUCAACCAAGCCUCUCCUCUCUCUAGCUGUUAUUUGUUUGCAGCACGCGGUCUGGUGGCACCCUGCAGGAUUUACCAGCUUUUUGCCAACAUUCUGGCCUAUGCAAUCAAUACGUCCCUUCAGCGUUGCACUUGGAUGGAUUGGACCUAUAGUUGUUAUAUAUGGAUAUUGUCUAAUUUAUUUAUUACAGUAUUAACUGACUCCUAUGUUCUGGCCUUCAGAAUUUCUCCUUUGGAUCAAUUACUAGCCUGUCUUACAUUUUCUGCUUCAUUCUUUUAAAAUGUUUAGAGAUGAUUUGCUAAGUUUUCUUCAUUGCUGUCAAUGAUGCAAUUUAAACUGUCAAAAAAAUUUUUUCUCAAGCAGGGUAGUAAUGGUGAACCAUUCCCUUGCUAUUCAGACAGCAUGGUUUAGAUGAGGCGCACCUAUCCCCAGCUUUAGGAAUGGAAACAGGACCCAAGUCUGGCUAAUCAGAGACUGGUUUAGGGUCGGCCCCAUGGUCUGAGCCAGACCAAUGAGAAUUGGUAGAGGGACUUCCUUUUGCAACUUCUAUUUUAGAAUCGGGGGUAUAUAUGCAGGCUUGUUACAGAGGUAUAUUGCAUGGUGCUGAGGUUUGGAGUAUGAACGAAUCCGUCCUUCAGGUAAUGAGCAUAGUACCCAAUAGGUAGUUUCAACCCUUGCCCCCUUCCUCCUUCCCCAGUCUUGUAUUCCCCAGUGUCUGUUGUUCCCAGACAUUGAUCUUUUUCCUCUAUGUUGCUAAGCUGGUAGAAAGGCUGGAGUUGCUGGCAACCAUCUUUGCAACCAUGCAGGGAGAACUACUUUGGAAAUGAAGCAAGAUAAAGAAGAAAACAGAUAAAAGGAGACAAAUGUUUGACUUUGUACAGCUGGAAACCAGCAAUGCUGGAAAUGAGCACUGAAGGCAGUUUAAUGGGUUUGUCACUUGUAACCAAGUGACCCAUGGCAAGCUCACAGAUUUGUAUUGGCAGAAUUCCUCCUUUUCUUUAUUUAAAAUGGUACUUUUGGCCAGGCAAGGUGGUUCACACCUGUAAUCCAAAGACUUUGGGAGGCCGAGGCGCACUGAUCACCCAAGGUCAGAAGUUCGAGAACAGCCUGGCCAACAUUGGCGAAACCCCAUCUCUACUAAAAAUACAAACCAUUAGCUGGCUGCGGUGGCCUUUCUACCAGCUUUUUGUCUCAAAAAAAAAAAAAAAAAAGGUACUUUUGCUUAUCUCUAACCUUCCUCUUCCCCAUAAUUUAACAGUUGCCCAUACUAUCUGUUACUCUGAGCUACUCUCUGCCCCAUUCUCCUCCUCUUAUCUUCAGUUCCUCCUAGGCUGUCAGAGCCAUCUGAAAUGAAAACAUUUAGGCCGGGCAUAGUGGUUCAUGCCUGUAAUCCCAGCACUUUGGGAGGCUGAGGCAGGCGGAUCAGCUGAGGUCAGGAGUUCAAGACCACCCUGGUCAACAUGGUGAAACCCCAUCUCUACUAAAAAUACAAAAAUUAUCCAGACAUGGUGGCACAUGCCUCUACUCCCAGCUACUUGGGAGGCUGAGGCAGGAGAAUCGCUUGAACCUAGGAGGCAGGGGUUGCAGUGAGCCGAGAUUGAGCCACUGCACUCUAGCCUGGGCGACAGAGUGAGACUUUGUCUAAAAAACAUAAAUAAAAUAAAAUGAAAUGAAAACAUUUGCUACUUGAAAUCCUUCAGAUUCCCCAUCGCCUACCUACAGGCAAAACUCUCAAGUUCUUUUGUAUGAUUUAACCACUAUCUACCUGUCCAACUGAAAUCUACCCUUCAGUAAUAUUAUACUUGCACCUCCCUUCAUAAGCUAUGCUACAAGUUUGGUUAUGCAGUUGCCCACCUUUUAAGGUUCAAGCCUUGUCUUCUCCAAAGAGCCACCUCUGACUGCCUCACAGUAAGCUUAGGGCCCGCAACUUACCUGUAACUUUUGUUGCACUUAUGGCCUUUUACAACUAUCAAUUUAUGUAUGUGUCUGUUCUCACUGGUUUAUAAGCUCCCUGAGGACAGAGCCUUGCUUGAGUCAUCUGUCAGCAGCCCAAUAUGGGACAAAAAGUGCAUGCAUUGUAAUUACUGAACAGAACUGAUAGAGGCUCAGCAAUUUGCGCUCCAUAGGUCUAAGUUUGAACUUUUCUAGAAAAGGAUUUGCAGGACGAUCUGACGAAUCUUGGGCUUCCAAAUUAGUUCCAACAGUUCUAGUAUUUUUUUUUUUUUUUGACAGAAGCAAAUAAGUAAGUUUUACUUUGUGAUUAAAACAAAAGUGAAAUGCAUUUAGUCCCAGGAAAUGUCAAUCCUUUCUGCAUCUUACUUUUUUUUGCUGUGACCUCGAGAUUCUCUUGUUCUCUUCAGUUGUAUUGGUCCAUGAUCACUCAUAGCUUUCAUACACAUAUAUACAUCUGAAACUCAGAAAAUUCAUUAGGUAGGAACUCUUUGGAUGCAUCUCCUUUUUUAACCUCAUUGGGAUGAUUUUUCGUUGCACCAUCAUUUUAUAGAGCUUCCUAGCACUGCUGAGCAUGCAGAAUUUUUGCAAAUGCAAUCCAGAGAAACAGACUUGCUAUAUACUAGCUAUUUGAACUUGUCUGAGCUUAUGUGGCAUGGUCUAAAGAAUACUGAAAUAUUUCUGGCAUACCUCUUAAUUGCAGUCACUUUCUCCAGGUUGCUUUAUGGAUUAAAUGAGAUAACCUACUAAAGGACUCCAGUAAAAAGCUAAAAAGGUAGCUAGCUUUUGAGGUGUUGUGGCAGACUGGCAUCUAGUGGCCAGCGAUAAAGGUGCAGACUAGUGUCCACACCUAAGUGGGGACAGUGCAGGCUGUAAUGUCCAUACCUAGUGGGGACAUCAAUGGGGUAUUUGUCAGAGAAGCUCCAUGGCAUAGUUUGGACAUUGUUUCUGGCUGUGCAGGUUCAAACCCAGAGUCUGGCUCUCCCAAAGAUUAUCUGAGUUAUUCUAUUAUUUUACAAAGUUUGAAAUAGCCAUUAGAUACCCUUACAAACUUAUCAUUUUUGUGAUUGAUUUUAAGUCUACUGAAAAUGUCAAAAGAAAUCCAAAACUGAUUGCUAGUAACUAGGCCAGGUGUGGUGGCUCACACCUGUAAUCCCAGCACUUUGGGGCCGGGGCAGGCAGAUUGCUUGAGCUCAGGAGUUCGAGACCAGCCUGGGCAACAUGGCAAAACUCCAUAUUUACAAAAAAUACAAAAAAUUAGCCGGACAUGAUGGUGUGUGCCUGUUGUCCCCGCUACUAGAAGGCUCAGAAAGAAGGAUCACUUGAGCCUGGGAGGCGGAGGUUGCAGUGAGCCAAGACUGUGCCACUGCACUCCAACCUGGGCAACAGAGACCCCAGCUCAAAAAAAUAAAAUUAGUGUUAACUUGUACUGUUUAGCCACAUUCAUUAAGUUUUUAAUUUUAACUCUACUAUCGCACAACCAGGAAUGUACAAGAGAUCUGGAGCCUGAUUUGCAUGGCAGGAAGGAGACCACGUAUUUUUGUUUGGGAUGGGUUUUAGCCACUAUCAGAGACAUAGUUUGUUUCUUA
rnacentral:lncRNA from 1 species